UCUGGUUGUGUCAAUGAACAUUUCCUGAGAGCAUUACCCAAUGCUGUGGACCAGAGAGUGAAGAGCAGGCAGUUAAUGAAAUUCUUGUCCACACUAACCAUAACGUGACUCACACGGCGGUUUUAAAUUCUACAUUUUAAGUAAAUGCUGGGGCUGAUCAGAAUUUCUUGUAUAACCUCACAGUCAUGUUACUACCUUUCAUGUCAGGAACUGUCCCCAAGUAUAGUUCAACGAGAUCGGCGUAGAACAAAUCAGAAAUGAGGAGCGAGCGUGAGGAAGUUCGAGAAUGAUUCACGUCCGGUUGCUGCUCGAGUAUAAAUGUGGCCCUCUUUCCGCAAACUUGAAAACGGGAAACGCCGAAUAAAGAGAAAAGGCUAAUCAGCAUCGACCGUGUAAUUACAUUACACAGCCGCAAUAGAACGGGUGAAUUUUCUGCUACAUACAAAAAAGUCACAAUGGAAAAUUGUAAACCACGAUUGGAGAUGUGAAGGAUAAUAUGACAGUGAAGAAACAUGUUUUGCUGUGUGAACAUUCCAACAUAUAUACACAACAUCCUCAUAACUGC